UACGGAGGGUGCUAGCGUUGUUCGGAAUCACUGGGCGUAAAGGGCGUGUAGGCGGCCUGCUAAGUCUGAUGUGAAAUCCCCUCGCUCAACGAGGGAACUGCGUCGGAUACUGGCAGACUCGAGUACCGGAGAGGAAGGUGGAAUUCCCGGUGUAGCGGUGAAAUGCGUAGAUAUCGUGAGGAAGACCAGUGGCGAAGGCGGAUCUCUGGACAGCUCCUGACGCUGAGGCGCGAAGGCUAGGGGAGCAAACGGG
rnacentral:rRNA from 1 species